rnacentral:tRNA from 1 species
GGUUGUAGCUCAGUGGUAGAGCACUUGCCUAGCAUGUGUCAGGCACUGGGUUCAAAUCUCAGCACCA